rnacentral:rRNA from 1 species
CUUGAUUAGUGGCGCACGGGUGAGUAAUGCAUAGAUAAUGUGCCCCUUAGUUCGGGAUAGCCACUGGAAACGGUGAUUAAUACCGGAUACUCCUUCUCGUUAUAAGACGAGUCGGGAAAGUUUUUCGCUAAGGGAUCAGUCUAUGUUCCAUCGGCUUGUUGGUGAGGUAAUGGCUCACCAAGGCUAUGACGGAUAUCUGGUUUGAGAGGAUGAUCAGACACACUGGAACUGAGACACGGUCCAGACUCCUACGGGAGGCAGCAGUGAGGAAUAUUGCACAAUGGAGGAAACUCUGAUGCAGCAACGCCGCGUGGAGGAUGACGCAUUUCGGUGUGUAAACUCCUUUUAUUAGGGAAGAUAAUGACGGUACCUAAUGAAUAAGCACCGGCUAACUCCGUGCCAGCAGCCGCGGUAAUACGGAGGGUGCAAGCGUUACUCGGAAUCACUGGGCGUAAAGGGUGCGUAGGCUGGCUUUUAAGUCAGAUGUGAAAUCCAAUGGCUCAACCAUUGAACUGCAUUUGAAACUGAAAGCCUAGAGUUCAGAAGGGGCAGAUGGAAUUAGUGGUGUAGGGGUAAAAUCCGUAGAUAUCACUAGGAAUAUCAAAAGCGAAGGCGAUCUGCUGGGAUGAUACUGACG